rnacentral:rRNA from 1 species
AGAGUUUGAUCAUGGCUCAGAUUGAACGCUGGCGGCAGGCCUAACACAUGCAAGUCGAGCGGCAGCGACAACAUUGACCCUUCGGGUGAUUUGUUGGGCGGCGAGCGGCGGACGGGUGAGUAAUGCCUAGGAAAUUGCCCUGAUGUGGGGGAUAACCAUUGGAAACGAUGGCUAAUACCGCAUAAUCUCUUCGGAGCAAAGAGGGGGACCUUCGGGCCUCUCGCGUCAGGAUAUGCCUAGGUGGGAUUAGCUAGUUGGUGAGGUAAUGGCUCACCAAGGCGACGAUCCCUAGCUGGUCUGAGAGGAUGAUCAGCCACACUGGAACUGAGACACGGUCCAGACUCCUACGGGAGGCAGCAGUGGGGAAUAUUGCACAAUGGGCGCAAGCCUGAUGCAGCCAUGCCGCGUGUAUGAAGAAGGCCUUCGGGUUGUAAAGUACUUUCAGUCGUGAGGAAGGCGUUAGUGUUAAUAGCACUAUCGUUUGACGUUAGCGACAGAAGAAGCACCGGCUAACUCCGUGCCAGCAGCCGCGGUAAUACGGAGGGUGCGAGCGUUAAUCGGAAUUACUGGGCGUAAAGCGCAUGCAGGUGGUUCGUUAAGUCAGAUGUGAAAGCCCGGGGCUCAACCUCGGAAUUGCAUUUGAAACUGGCGGACUAGAGUACUGUAGAGGGGGGUAGAAUUUCAGGUGUAGCGGUGAAAUGCGUAGAGAUCUGAAGGAAUACCGGUGGCGAAGGCGGCCCCCUGGACAGAUACUGACACUCAGAUGCGAAAGCGUGGGGAGCAAACAGGAUUAGAUACCCUGGUAGUCCACGCCGUAAACGAUGUCUACUUGGAGGUUGUGGCCUUGAGCCGUGGCUUUCGGAGCUAACGCGUUAAGUAGACCGCCUGGGGAGUACGGUCGCAAGAUUAAAACUCAAAUGAAUUGACGGGGGCCCGCACAAGCGGUGGAGCAUGU